CGCUAAUCCUGGUCGGACAUCUGGAGGUUAGUGUAUUGGCAUAAGCCAGCUUGCCUGCGCGCGUGUUGGCGCGAGUAGGUGCGAAAGUAGGUCAUAGCGCUCCGGAGGUCCCGAAUGGAAGGGCCGUCGCUCAACGGAUAAAAGGUACUCCUGGGAUAACAGGCUGAUACCGCCCAAGAGUUCAUAUCGACGCCGGUGUUUGUCUCCUCCAUCUCGGCUCAUCACAUCCUGUUUCCGGAGGAGGUCCCCAG
rnacentral:rRNA from 1 species